GAGAAAAGCAGAGGGGAGAUUAUAAGACAUUGUGUGUCAAGACCAAAGAGGAUGGGCAUUAGCCAAGACCAGUGGAAAAUUCCUGGGAGAUUCAAGCAGGGCAGUGCCAUUGUGUUUCAGGAAAAUCUCUUGGCCUUUGUGGUUUGCAGGAGGUCAGAGUUGCCUACAAGGAGAAUGGGUGUUCCAGUCUUCCAGGCAAGAAAAGAUGACAGUCAUAACCAGGAGGUCACUGCAGGAGAAUGGGAGGAGGGCUGAGAAGUACCUUGGAGAUGGAGCCAAGAGAACUUGGUCCUGAAGAAAAGAGAUGGUGUCAGCAUAGAUGAAAUGAAAGGAACCCUUUCAGGCAUGAAGGGAAAGCUAACCAAGAGCUCACUCUGUGGAAGCUAAACAGUUAAUUCGCAAGAGGAAGCUGCUAAUCAAAUGAACAAGUGUGAAGUGAAAAUGCCAACCCCAGUGAAGACGCAGCCAAAGCUGGCAAAGGCAAAUGGAGAAAACGCAGGCAGCAUCAGUGAGCUGUUCCUGGAAAUGGAGUCUAACUACAUUAACGCAUUCAGACAGAGGGAAACAGAUGGUCGGUGUGAUGUCCUCAGUCACUUCACAAGCUGGAUAAAUAAUUGUUGCCAGGGAAGGAAUAAUAAAAGCAGGAUUUUGCCAACAUGAGCUGUUGCCCUGGCCUUUGGUUCCGGGAGUGCUUCUGGAGGUUUUUCCAACAGAUUUUUCAAGGAAGCAAAAAAGACAGCAAAUUACUAAGAAUGAAAUUCACUUUUUAAUUUUUCCCACUGAGUCUUCGUCAACGGAUAAUCCCUACCUAUCAAGACAUAUGACAGUUCUCUCUCAUUUCAAUGUUGUAUGCAUAAAAAGCAAAUUCAGAACCUUCAUGUGAAAUGGAAUUGUAAAGGACUCUGGCUGCAACGCUAUUUGUUGAUAAAGCAAAAAUUGAUUUUCAACAGAAGUUAGAAUGAGGAAAGUCAAAUUUGGAGGACAGUGUAAAACCUCUAACAUUUUCAUGAGCUUUGAAGGUAGACUCUGCUGUUCAGAGAUUGCUCAAGACUAAACUGGUCCCUGCCGAGGUAUCUAUGGACUGUGAGUAGAACCCAAUUUACAAAGCACUUGCACAUUGUUUAUCUGGAUUUUUAUUUUUCUCUUUACUGCCCAGUUGCUCAAGCCAGAAAUUGGACAUUAUCCUUAUUUCUCUUUCUCUCCUUCAAUCUGCACAUCCAAUCACCAAUUUCCAUAGCUUGGUGGCUUUCAAAUUUUAGCAUGCAUCAAAAUUACUUUGUGGGCUUGUUAAAACACAAAUUGCUUGGCCUCAGCUUCAGGGUUUCUGGGAUAGGGUCUGAGAAUUUAAAUUUCCAACAAAUUCUCAAGUGAUCCUGUUGAUUCAGAGACCACACUUUGAAAACCACUGGUGUAGAUGGAUUCC
rnacentral:lncRNA from 10 species